rnacentral:lncRNA from 1 species
AACUUCCCAACGUUCUUAUUUUUCAGAAAAAAGGCAUGGCCUUUCCCGAACAGGCACCAAGCAAUUCCGAACAGUCACAAUUCGAGGCUAUAUAAACUGAGGCAAUGCCUCAUUUUCGUGUACUUAAAAGAAAAAGAAAAAAAAAAUAUUCGUGCAUUAAAAAUUCUGCAUUCUUUUCUGCAAACUGAAACAUAUCGAGUCAUAGUGUGAUUUCGUUCCCGAAUUUGAGUNNN